CCUACGGGAGGCUGCAGUAGGGAAUCUUCCACAAUGGGCGCAAGCCUGAUGGAGCAACACCGCGUGAGUGAAGAAGGGUUUCGGCUCGUAAAGCUCUGUUGUUGGAGAAGAACGUUCGUGAGAGUAACUGUUCACGCAGUGACGGUAUCCAACCAGAAAGUCACGGCUAACUACGUACCAGCAGCCGCGGUAAUACGUAGGUGGCAAGCGUUAUCCGGAUUUAUUGGGCGUAAAGCGAGCGCAGGCGGUUGCUUAGGUCUGAUGUGAAAGCCUUCGGCUUAACCGGAGAAGUGCAUCGGAAACCGGGAAACUUGAGUGCAGAAGAGGGCAGUGGAAAUCCAUGUGUAGCGGUGGAAUGCGUAGAUAUAUGGAAGAAGACCAGUGGCGAAGGCGGCUGUCUGGGCUGAAACUGACGCUGAGGCUCGAAAGCAUGGGUAGCGAACAGGAUUAGAUACCCCUGUAGUC
rnacentral:rRNA from 1 species